rnacentral:rRNA from 1 species
AAGUCCCGCAACGAGCGCAACCCUCGCCUCUAGUUGCCAGCAUUCGGUUGGGCACUCUAGAGGGACUGCCGGCGACAAGUCGGAGGAAGGUGGGAUGACGUCAAUCAUCAUGCCCCUUAUGACCUGGGCUACACACGUGCUACAAUGGGCGGUACAAAGGGCUGCGAACCCGCGAGGGGGAGCGAAUCCCAAAAAGCCGCUCUCAGUUCGGAUUGCAGGCUGCAACUCGCCUGCAUGAAGCCGGAAUCGCUAGUAAUCGCGGAUCAGCAUGCCGCGGUGAAUACGUUCCCGGGCCUU